AGGAAUCUCAAGAUAAAACAUUUAUCUAGUUUUUAUUGUGGUAGAGACAUUUACCAUGUCAUUAAUAUUAAGCUUAACUGAGAAUUUCCUCCUCCAAAACCUCCUAACCGCAUUCUCAGAUACUUGGAAUGCAGACAUUUUUAGAAGUUUUUAGUGAUUAUGUUGUUCUCCUUCUUGGAGGUCACACGUUCCUUUAAGAAUUUAUCAAAAAGGGGCUGGAGAGAAGGAUCAGCAGCUAAGAGCGCUGGCUGCUCUUCCAGAGGACUGGAGUUCAAUUCUGAGUACCCACACAGCAGCUCACAGCUGACUGUAACCUCAGUUCUAGGGGACUGGCACCCUCACACAGACAUACAUUCAAGCAAAAUACAAAUGCACACACAAAAAAAAAU
rnacentral:lncRNA from 1 species